CUUUUUGGUCAAUGAUUUCCUCCUUAGCACACAGCCAUCUUUUCUGCUCUCUCCUUCCUUGUCACCUCCCCCCCUUCCCACGGAUGUUAUUCAAUUGCAGGAUCUUGAAAUUAGCUGGUUAUCAGCCAAUUUAGCGCCAUUUUCAACUCAUUUGCCCAUACUACAAUCCAAAAGUUUAAAUGUUCGUUUUUUUUUUCUCUCACAGACACUUGUUGUUUUACAUAACAUUUAAACUUGUCAGUUUUUGCAGUGUAUGCAUUUUUAAAAAUUAUUUUCUGUGAGAAAUAUUU